AGCGAACGCUGGCGGCAUGCUUAACACAUGCAAGUCGCACGGCGGGGGCAACUCCGUCAGUGGCGGACGGGUGAGUAACGCGUAGGAAUCUAUCCUUGGAAUGGGGGACAACCGUGGGAAACUACGGCUAAUACCGCAUGAUGACUGAGGUCUAAAGGCGCAAGUCGCCAGAGGAGGAGCCUGCGUCCGAUUAGCUAGUUGGUGGGGUAAAGGCCUACCAAGGCUCCGAUCGGUAGCUGGUCUGAGAGGAUGAUCAGCCACAUUGGGACUGAGACACGGCCCAAACUCCUACGGGAGGCAGCAGUGGGGAAUAUUGGACAAUGGGCGCAAGCCUGAUCCAGCAAUGCCGCGUGUGUGAAGAAGGCCUGCGGGUUGUAAAGCACUUUCAGUAGGGAAGAAAAGCCUAAGGUUAAUACCCUUGAGUCUUGACGUUACCUACAGAAGAAGCACCGGCUAACUCCGUG
rnacentral:rRNA from 1 species